AUUGAAUAGGCGGUCGUUGGAGGUUGAUUCCAGAGACGCCUAUGGAUUUGCAUUGAGACCUCAACACCUUCAAAGAUAUAGAGAGUGCUGUGAAAUAUACAAGGAGGAGGAAGAGGAGAGAGGACACAUAAAUGGAAGCAAUUCCUUGAACAGCAAAAGGAGUCUUCUCUAGUUUGUGCUUUUGUGGAGGAAUAUAACAACACUUUGCUUACUGAAAUUACACGGGAGGAAGCAGAGUCUGUUCCAGGGAGGGGUGGGGAAGGGAAUGUGUCAAGUAGCAAGAAGUCUGUUUCUGAUGGUUCAACAGAAAGUGACCAACAAA